rnacentral:sRNA from 1 species
GCGCGGGGUUCCCAACCUGCGGGAAACAGCCGCGGGGCCCUCGGCUGGGAAGCAACGGGGGUGGAGCAGCGACAGUGGAGUCCGGGGGCUCCGUUCCGCAGGAGGGACCGGCAAAAUACAUAUCUCAGUGCAUUGAUGAGAUCAAGCAGGAGCUGAAGCAGGACAACAUCGCGGUGAAGGCGAACGCGGUCUGCAAGCUGACGUAUUUACAGAUGCUGGGAUACGACAUCAGCUGGGCCGCCUUCAACAUCAUAGAAGUGAUGAGUGCCUCCAAGUUCACCUUCAAGCGAAUUGGCUACCUCGCUGCUUCCCAGAGCUUUCACGAAGGCACUGACGUCAUCAUGCUGACCACCAAUCAGAUCCGUAAGAAUGUUAACCCUGAAAAAGGAUCUCGGUAGAUGCAUAUAUAGAUGAAGUCUUGGGAGUUUCCUUAAAAAGAUGUCUCCCCAAGAGCAGGACUUGAGCAGCCCCAGCCAGUACGACACAGGCGUUGCACUGACGGGUCUGUCCUGCUUCGUCACCCCAGACCUUGCCAGAGACCUGGCAAAUGACAUCAUGACACUGAUGUCACACACCAAGC